rnacentral:rRNA from 1 species
GGAAGCCUCCCUCAAGAUGAGAUCUCCCUGGGAACUUGAUUCCCCUGAAGGGCCGUUGAAGACCACAACGUUGAUAGGCUGGGUGUGGAAGCGUUGUAAGGCGUGAAGCUAACCAGUACUAAUUGCCCGUGAGGCUUGACUAUAUAACACCAAAGCAGUUACU